rnacentral:rRNA from 1 species
UACGUAGGUGGCAAGCGUUGUCCGGAUUUAUUGGGUUUAAAGGGUGCGUAGGCGGCUUUGUAAGUCAGUGGUGAAAUAUGGCAGCUUAACUGUCAGGGUGCCAUUGAUACUGCGGAGCUUGAGUACAGAUGAGGUAGGCGGAAUUGACGGUGUAGCGGUGAAAUGCUUAGAUAUCGUCAAGAACACCGAUAGCGAAGGCAGCUUACUGGGCUGUAACUGACGCUGAGGCACGAAAGUGUGGGGAUCAAACAGG